AGAACGAACGCUGGCGGCAUGCCUAACACAUGCAAGUCGAACGUGAUCCAGGCUUCGGCCUGGUGAAAGUGGCAGACGGGUGAGUAACGCGUGGGAACCUGCCCUGUGGUAGGGAAUAACCGUGGGAAACUGCGGCUAAUACCCUAUGAGUCCUUCGGGAGAAAGAUUUAUCGCCAUAGGAGGGGCCCGCGUCGGAUUAGGUAGUUGGUGGGGUAACGGCCUACCAAGCCUUCGAUCCGUAGCUGGUCUGAGAGGAUGAUCAGCCACACUGGGACUGAGAUACGGCCCAGACUCCUACGGGAGGCAGCAGUGGGAAUAUUGGACAAUGGGGGCAACCCUGAUCCAGCAAUGCCGCGUGGAUGAUGAAGGCCUUCGGGUUGUAAAGUCCGUUUCGGCGGGGAAGAUGAUGACGGUACCCGCAGAAGAAGCCCCGGCUAACUUCGUGCCAGCAGCCGC
rnacentral:rRNA from 1 species